UACACGCUCCUGUACCCAACUUUCCCUUUUCUCUUCAUGUUCUUCUUUGUUCCCUCUGCUCUUUGUCUUUUUAGAUCCAUGUUCUCCUGGAUUUGAAAUUUGAAAAAGAGGUUUUGAAUUUCAAAUCUCCCUCAAUUCCAUAUUCAUUCAUCUUUCACGCCUCUCCCCUUUUCAUUCUUUCUCUUGUAUAGAACACCAAUUUAAAGAAAUCUACAGAUGUUCCAUUUCAAAACUCUAGAAGACGUUCCAUUGUAAAGUUCAAAUGCACUUGGAUUCUUCGACAUGCGUUCUCUCUCUCACUCUCAAUUUCGAUUUCAGAUUUCAAAGUUAUUUGUGUUGUAAAACCUGCUGUUCACCCAACUUAUGAUUUGAAGAAUUGAAUGUUUACAUGCAUCCAUUUCUGAAGAUACUGGAGACAAGGUGCUAAAACUAAACACGGCUUUUGGAUCCUUGCCUCUCAACCCUAAUUUCAGUUUAUCUCCGUCUCAACCAUCACUAUAUCUUUCUUCUUGCCUUCCCCAUCGAUGUAAACAUAGAAGUUCAUAUCUUCGGGUGUUAGUUUAUUUGAAUAGAUUAUAACUUUAGUUUGAAUCGAUUGAUCAGAUCACUUCGUCACUCACACAGGUACGUUUCAUUCAUCCUGUUUGCCCUAAUUUUGUCACUGUGUUAACCAUAUCUGAUUCGUCCUGUUGUUGUUACUGAAUCUGUAACGUUCGUUGAUGUUUAUUCAAUUGUUGUUCGUUUGUUCAUAUCUGUAAUCGAUUUGGAUCGAGUGAGUGUAGUGAUUGUAUUGUUCGAUGUUAUAUAUACUUCUUUUUUAUCUACAUUGAUUAUUAAAAUUUUGUCUUUGUGGUUUUAGAUUUAGAGGAUUAUGGUUUAGUGAGAUUUUAACUGCAUUGAUUAUUUAAUCACGGUGUCCAAUAACGAAAGUUCAAUUCGGCAUGUCAGUGCCCAGUGAUUCGAUCACAAAAAGCCUAAACACGACCAGGUAUCGUUACAGAUUAAUUAUACAGUUUUAGUUGUUCUAAUUUAUUCAGAUGAUCAUGUGGUGAAGGGCAUGUUAAACAUGUAGAAGAUUACAGUUUAUGAAGAGGCUGACUUAGCUACAAGAUCAAGAAUAUUGAACAUCGGAAGCAAAUGGAAGCGUCAAAGAUUCACUUGACCGCAUUCAUAAACACAAGGUAUGAUAUGUACUGUGGAUGAACAAUCUGGCGUCAUUUGUAGAUUUGCAUAAAAGUUGUUGUCUCAACUGGAUGGAUCUAUAGAGGAUAAAGAUUGGAAUCGAAACGGGUCAUUUUAUACUCAUAAAUACUUCACGCGUAAAAUGUGGUUAUCACAGUAAUAAAAUAUAGUAAUUAUAUUUAGGAGGAUACACACAUUAAAAAUAGGCCUUACAUAACUCUAGACCCGUUUACCCCAUUUGAUUCAUUAUUCUUUAUGUAUAUAAUAGUUUUUGUUUAACCUGUUUGAUAUAAAAACACUAUAUGAUAAAUUGUCUAUGCAGUUAGGCAUAGAUGAGGUAAUGGAGAAUUGCAAGGAAUACAGAGUCAAAGUCAUUCGUUGACAAUCAUUCUUUAUUGUAGGGGUGUUCACGGUUCAGUUUAAAGCCGUGAAACCGUCCAAAUCGGUCACCGGUUUGGUUUGGUUUCGCAAUCGGUAUUUUCUCUUAGUUUUCGGUCGGUCGAUUUCCGAUCUUUCAAACCGGUUUGGUUUACGGUUUAUACCAAAAACCAACCAAAUGUAUAAAACCGAACCAAACCGCAUGUUUGAAAAACAUUUCAAAUUUUAAAUUGUAUAUACACACACUGACCAAAACAUUUCAGUUUAUUUGGUCGCAUUCAAAUUCAUAGUAGACCAGUUUUUUAACAAUCUGGACAUGCAUGUGAGGAUUUUAUUUCUUUAGAUAAUCUGGACCUUCGUUUGACAUUCUGCACUCAAAUUGUGCAAUGACAUUCAAAUUUUACAACCUUUUUUAUUUUAUAUAAUUUUACAACCUUUUUUAUUGUGUGUAGUAGGUUCUUUUAUUAUAUAUAUUAUUCGUUUUAAAACAGUGAAAACAUGUUGUAAAAGUUCUAUUUUGAUUGUGCCGAUGGCGGAGAAAAACGCCGCGUGACCCAAACGGCUGUCUGAUGCUCUAUUAUUGAUGUUUGCACCAUGUUGAUGGCUAAGAGUAGUGAUUUCAGGCGUUGGUAGUGGUCGCCGGUGGAGGUGACACUCCCUAGCCUCCGGUCAAUGAUGAAUGACGUUGAUAACAAGUUAAGUGCUGCAACUCGGGGCUGUUGUGGAGCAUAUUUGUGGACCAAUUUACACAAUCAAAGCACAUGAUGAUGCAGAUUCACUCCAAAUAAGAGCUAUUAGGAUACGGACACAAAGGAACUAGGCCAUCUGUUUAUGACAGACUUAUGAAAGGUCCAAUAUCCUCAAAUGGUUAUGAACUUCACUUGCCCCACCACAAUGAAAGAGCUUUGUAUUGUGCUUCUAUGGAGUAAAGGGAGUUACUAGAAGAGCUUGCAGAUUAGUAGGAAAUCCGACUCGACGAUUUUCAUUUUUUGCGAGUGUAGCUGGGUUGAUAAGUAAAAUCGAUCAAGUAGAUGGAUAUGUAUGUUUCAUUUAUUUGGUCUCUUUUAACGGUACUUUAUACAUGUAAUUUUAGAAGUUGUGAUAACUUCAAUUUCCACCGUUUGACAGUUAGUACUCAUAAUCCGUUAGUACAAGUUGGAUGAUCCAAAUCAAAAGGUCCGAUCCAUAUUCAUUCGGAUCUGUGUCCAUCUGAAAUUAAAUAGGUGUUUUGUAUUAUUGCCA